UAAGACUUGGGUUUAGGAUAUAGGGUUUAGGUUUAUAGUCUAUUUUUUGAGUUUAAGGUAUAUACUUUGGGUUUAGGAUCUAGGAUUAGGGUUUGGAUUUAGGGGUUUGGAUUUAGAAUUUAGGGUAUAGAAUUUAGAAUUUAAGAUUUAGGGUUUAGGGUUUCGCUUACGGCGUAGCUUUUUUAUUUUUUUAGCUAUUCGUUAUUUAAUUUAAUAUUUUUAAUGAAUAAUCUAUGUGACACUUUAAUUGAUUUUUAAGAGUGGGAUGAAUUUAAAAGUUCACCCUAGGGGGUGAACCUAAGUUUUGUUCAUAUAUUAGUGGGUUCUCUUUUAUGACCAGGUACCAUGUGCCCCGGUCAUGACUAAAGACAUAUAUGGGAACCUUCUAAAGCUCCGAAUGGUAAUUGUGGUUUAAGCGGUACGGAACAAGCGGUUUAACUGCAGUGCAGUUUUAACAGUUAUAAAAACGUAUAGAUAUAUGGUAUAUGUAGAGAUUUUUAUUACUGUUAACUGCGGUGCGGAGCGGUUCAUAACAUUCGAAACCUAAUUGUGUUUGAGGAAUAGAGUGGUGAUCCAAGUGGGAUCUCUCUUGUUAAAAGAAUAAACAAAUCAAGCUCUUCUUAAAUCGGCCGAGUAUUUUCGGAAUUUGUUUUACCAGUGGUGUGCUUAUUUUUUCUGAAACUAUUUUUUUUUUCUCUUUUUUCUUAAAAGUGAUGGAGUGGUGUGCUUAUUCUGUGAAGUUAAGAUGGUUAUGUGCAGUGGUUACACAUAUGUAGAGUUUAUUUACAGUGGCAACUAUUGGUAUUUUGGAACAAUGUUGUAUCCUGGUUCACAGGAAAAACACAAAUAAGACAAUGCUAGCUACCCUGCCUAUGAACACCAUUUUAAUUUAUUACAUGUAUCAUCUUCUCAAUCUCUUGAACUCUAAUCGGAUAAACAAACAAAUAUAACAUUAGUAUUUUACCUAAAAAAUGACAUUAGUGUAACUUAUAGAAAAAGGGCAUAAACUUAAAGUUAUGCCCUAAAAAUAUAUUUUCUUUUCUU
rnacentral:lncRNA from 1 species